GAUGAACGCUGGCGGCGUGCCUAAUACAUGCAAGUCGAGCGAACGGACGAGAAGCUUGCUUCUCUGAUGUUAGCGGCGGACGGGUGAGUAACACGUGGAUAACCUACCUAUAAGACUGGGAUAACUUCGGGAAACCGUAGCUAAUACCGGAUAAUAUUUUGAACCGCAUGGUUCAAAAGUGAAAGACGGUCUUGCUGUCACUUAUAGAUGGAUCCGCGCUGCAUUAGCUAGUUGGUAAGGUAACGGCUUACCAAGGCAACGAUGCAUAGCCGACCUGAGAGGGUGAUCGGCCACACUGGAACUGAGACACGGUCCAGCCUCCUACGGGAGGCAGCAGUAGGGAAUCUUCCGCAAUGGGCGAAAGCCUGACGGAGCAACGCCGCGUGAGUGAUGAAGGUCUUCGGAUCGUAAAACUCUGUUAUUAGGGAAGAACAUAUGUGUAAGUAACUGUGCACAUCUUGACGGUACCUAAUCAGAAAGCCACGGCUAACUACGUG
rnacentral:rRNA from 1 species